GACGAACGCUGGCGGCGUGCUUAACACAUGCAAGUGGAGCGACGAACCAGGGCUUGCCCUGGGGCAGAGCCGCGAACGGGUGAGUAACACGUGGGUAACGUGCCCCGAUGACCGGGACAACCCGGGGAAACCCGGGCUAAUACCGGAUGUGCUGUCCCAACAUCAGUUGGGAUUGGAAAGGAAGCUUCGGCCUCCGCAUCGGGAUCGGCCCGCGGCCCAUUAGCUUGUUGGUGAGGUAACGGCUCACCAAGGCUGCGAUGGGUAGCUGGUCUGAGAGGACGAUCAGCCACACUGGGACUGAGACACGGCCCAGACUCCUACGGGAGGCAGCAGUGGGGAAUCGUGCGCAAUGCGCGAAAGCGUGACGCAGCAACGCCGCGUGGGGGAAGAAGGCCUUCGGGUUGUAAACCCCUUUCAGGAGGGACGAAGCGUGGGCGGUUAAUAGCCGGCCCACGUGACGGUACCUCCAGAAGAAGCCCCGGCUAACUACGUGCCAGCCGCCGCGGUAAAAC
rnacentral:rRNA from 1 species